rnacentral:lncRNA from 1 species
AUUCUAAAAAUAACUUAUUUUUCAAAACAAAUUCUGAUUUUUUUUUUCUAGUAGUAAUAGAUUCCUUUUUCAACACUUCUAUUUUAAUCUCCUUACAUUUAUAAACCAAGAUACCAAGAUACUAUUAGGUAAAUUUAUAUAAUUUUAAAACAAAGAAGUGCUAAAAUUAACCAAAUUUAAAAUAAAUAAAAAAUAGUUUUGCAUGAUUAUAAAAUUUUGUAAUAUUAAUUUUCCAAUUUAAGUACAUGAGUGGUACGUAAAAAAUGAUUAAGGAGAUGGUGGACCCCAACUAGCC